ensembl:lncRNA
CAUGGACAGCUUCGGUUUUUCUGUUCAUUAACUCUGAGAGGACCUCUGAGUGCCUUGCCUAUCCAUUCAGAAAACAGGACUGAACACAGUUUAUGGCGAGUGAUGCAUGCUGCAAACGGUGCGUGCGUGUAGUGUGAGCGAGAGCCAUCGGUGUAUGCGUGUGCUUGUGUUGCGUGUGUGUUUGACUGUAUGAGUGUGUGUGCUUGAAUGUGUGUUGAGAGAGCGAGAGAGAGCAAGAGCGAACGAGAGAGAGAGAGAGAGAGAGAGAGAGAGACGGAUAGACCGAGCCUCUAACACGGAGCAUGCCUCUGCGUCCGGCAGCCGGCAAACAUGAGCCACCGAGCCCUCCACGGCAGGACCAGCAGCAGCACACACACACACACUCACACACAAUCACACACCCUCACACACACGCAGCAAACGGCAGCCAGGGGGCCAGCACUGACAGCAGCAGCUCCCGGGAAGAGGACAGUGGCGUUCCCGUUCCUCACGGUGUUCCGGCUUUCCGUCCCAGUGCAGAGCGUAGCAACAGUGCAAGAGCACCCAUGGAGGAGCCAACAGGCAACACGGUGGUCAUCCGCAUUGGAAUCCCAGACUUGCAGCAGACGGUCCUGCACUCUCAAAGACUGAAUGAACCAGCAUUGCAGCCAUGGGUCACUGUGAGCAUCACAGGAAAGGUUGAAGCCGCGCACUGCACCUGUAUGGCCGGAGUCGCAGAGACCUGCAGCCAUGUCGCUGCUCUUCUGUUUAAUGUAGAAGCAACAGUGUUGAUCUGUGGCACAAGGACUGUUACAGAUGAACCUGCAUACUGGGUUUUGCUGGGUAAUAUGACCAAGAUACAGCCAGAGGUUGGCCAUAAGAUAGACUUCUCCUCUUCAGCUGCCCAAAAAAAGGCUCUCAAUCAAAACAUAAUAAUAAUAAUAAUAAUGGAUUGGAUUUAUAUAGCGCUUUUCAAGGCACCCAAAGCGCUUUACAAUACCACUAUUCAUUCACUCUCACAUUCAUACACUGGUGGAAGCAAGCUACAGUUGUAGCCACAGCUGCCCUGGGGCAGACUGACAGAAGCGAGGCUGCCAUAUCGC